rnacentral:lncRNA from 1 species
CCCCUUUUCUCCAAUUCCUGUACAAAUCUUGUAAUUGAUGGUUCCUCUUGUUGUAAGCCAAAAAGCAUGUCUUUUGUUGGUUUUCUAACAUUAUAGAGUAAAGUCUUUAAAAGACAUGUAGGGUCUGUUUUCUUUCGUCUGAAUCCUAUUUUGUGGAAAGUGGAUGCUGUUAUUCCAAAUCUUCUUGCACUGUGCCAUGCACUGGAAUUUGA